AUAACCAGUUAAGCGGAGACACUGGUCUGGGAGGCGGAAAAAUUUUGAAAAAAACAAUUUUCUGAAAUAUUUUUUUUUUUAUAAUCUAGAAGGUCUAAAAAAGUCAUUUCCAAAAUAUUACAGACAUGUAAUGCAUACUUGUCGAGUUAUUUGGUCUUGAAGUCAGUUUCAUGACCAUUUUUGCUCACCAAAGCACCUCAAAAAGUCCCAUUCAAUAGCGCAUCGUGCAGGAACCACAUUAAGUAACACAGCCAUUUUGGUCUCAUUUGAAACACACACUUUUCUAUUAGCUGUUCCUAGCACAAGAACGCUUUUCAUAUAGCAGAGGCGAAGCCAUUGCGC
rnacentral:lncRNA from 1 species